rnacentral:rRNA from 1 species
AACGAACGCUGGCGGCAUGCCUAACACAUGCAAGUCGAACGAGACCUUCGGGUCUAGUGGCGCACGGGUGCGUAACGCGUGGGAACCUGCCCUUAGGUUCGGAAUAACUCCCCGAAAGGGGUGCUAAUACCGGAUAAUGUCUUCGGACCAAAGAUUUAUCGCCUUUGGAUGGGCCCGCGUUGGAUUCGCUAGUUGGUAGGGUAAAAGCCUACCAAGGCGACGAUCCAUAGCUGGUCUGAGAGGAUGAUCAGCCACACUGGGACUGAGACACGGCCCAGACUCCUACGGGAGGCAGCAGUGGGGAAUAUUGGACAAUGGGCGAAAGCCUGAUACAGCAAUGCCGCGUGAGUGAUGAAGGCCUUAGGGUUGUAAAGCUCUUUUACCCGGGAUGAUAAUGACAGUACCGGGAGAAUAAGCGCCGGCUAACUACGUG